UACGAAGGGGGCUAGCGUUGCUCGGAAUCACUGGGCGUAAAGGGUGCGUAGGCGGGUUUUUAAGUCAGGGGUGAAAUCCUGGAGCUCAACUCCAGAACUGCCUUUGAUACUGAAGAUCUUGAGUCCGGGAGAGGUGAGUGGAACUGCGAGUGUAGAGGUGAAAUUCGUAGAUAUUCGCAAGAACACCAGUGGCGAAGGCGGCUAACUGGUCCGGUUCUGACGCUGAGGCGCGAAAGCGUGGGGAGCAAACAGG
rnacentral:rRNA from 1 species